GUGAAUUAAGCGGUCUGUGUUGAGCGACAUGAAUUCCUUUACCGCGUGGCGUUCCAAAGGCGAUUCUCACCCGGGUGUUGCCUGUGCUGUGGCUCUCCUCUAUGCCCAAGAAACAGGUCUGCAUCCAGGCUUGGUGGGAAUUUCCACUACAGAAAGAGAAUCAAAUACCCCAGCCACUAUGCCAUGAAAUGCAACCUCUGGCUUCGCAACCUCUGUGAGUUGCUGAAUUCUUCCUUCCAAGUUGCUCGCCAACUACCAGACUCUCUGCGCAAGAUCAGCCAUCGCCAUUGUCCUCGUCUCUGAAAAUUGUUCUGUCAAUGAAAUGAUCUACCAUGAAGGACAUCUGUGGAAACACAGUCUGUGACGAGAGCCCAUGAAUAAUUUCCACGUGCUCCUGCCAGUCUUUUAAGCUGCGCGUCCUUGAGUCACAGAGACAUGGCUGGGCAGCUGAAAGUGUCACCGAGUAUUCCGUGGACACCACAGUUCACUCAAGUGUUAACUGCUCACAAGGAUACACAGCCAGCCUCCCCCAAACAUGAGGCGAUCCAACUGUGUUCUUCCCAUGAGAAGCCAAAGGCAUCUCUCCCCAAGCACAAAGUAGUAAAGAGCCCUGGAUGCCUGGUUCCUAUUCCUGGGAGCGUAUGCAAUUACUCUGUCACCCUGGUGGCCAACGCUGACUGUCCUAUCAGCAUGACUCCUGAUUAUCAGCUCCCCAUCUGCAUGAAAGUAAAAGCCAGCUCAUCCUAUUCACCGGCUCCGAAUCCUCCACUGGCUUCCCCUUUCACUAGAAUAAAACCCUAA
rnacentral:lncRNA from 1 species